GAUGAACGCUGGCGGCGUGCCUAAUACAUGCAAGUCGAGCGAACAGACGAGGAGCUUGCUCCUCUGACGUUAGCUGCGGACGGGUGAGUAACACGUGGAUACCCUACCUAUCUGCCUGGGAUACCUUCGGGAAACCGUCUCUUAUACCGUAUAAUCUAUUCAACCGCAUGUUUCAAUAGUGAAAGCCGUUUUUGCUGUCACUUCUACCUGUAUCCUCGCCGCAUUAGCUAGUUGGUAAGGUAACGGCUUACCAAGGCCACGAUGCGUAGCCGACCUGAGAGGGUGAUAGGCGACACUGGAAGGGAGACACGGACAAGACGACUAAGGGAGGCAGCAGUAGGGAAUCUUACGCAACAGGCGAAAGCAUGACGGAGCAAGGCGGCGCGAGAUAUGAAGGUGUUCGGAUCGGAAAACUGGGUUACGAGGGAAGAACAAAUGUGUAAGUAAACAUGCACGUUCUGACGGUAGAUAAACAGAAAGCAACGGCUAACUACGUG
rnacentral:rRNA from 1 species